UAGAAAGGUAGGCCUAGGAGUAAACAGAAGAAAACUACACGGUACAGACUGACAGUAAGCACGAAGCGAAGCAAAAUCAAGCAGGCGAAUCGCCAUUUGAAGCUCCAUGGAUUACCUGAAAUCCGUGGUCCCUUCACAGCUGCUCUCCGAACGAGGCUCCAACCUGGUCGUCAUCAACCCAGGUUCUGCAAACAUUAGAAUUGGCUUGCUUCGAAGGACACCCCUCUAAAUAUUCCCCAUUGCAUUGCGAGGCACACCACACAAGAACACAGGAGAAAUGUUCAAGACCAGUUGCUCAAUACUCAAGUUGCGACUACGCUGUACAAGGACCGCCAAAAGGCUUAUGAUAUGAUUGCAUCGUUCUUGAAGAUACCAUUUAUAGAUAAAGAGGUUGCUAACAAUUCUUACCCACGCAAGAUGGGACACAUUGAUGGACUUAAACCACAUAAUAGUAGAAAGGACACAGCAUUGGAUUGGACAGAUGUAUAUGAAAAGGAACCUAGUUCGUCUUCAGCAUUAGAAAGUUCAGAGAACAAAAGCACUACUAGUGAGGGUUUGAGCCAGCAUGAAGGUGCAGAUACUGAGGAGCUUGGCUCUGGCAAUCACAAAUACAAAAAGGUCAUUUAUGGUGAGGAAGCACUAAAAAUAUCCCCACAGCGGCCGUAUCCGUGUCCGUGUCGGCGGCGUAUUGGAGGCAUGUCCAAGCCGUUGACCGGUGUCUUGACUGUGUCCAACUCGUGUCAGGGGCGUAUCAGAGGCGUGUCAGAGUUAAACUUUGAAGGUCUAGCUGCUUUUGGGAAUGGAUUAUCAACAGCAUGUGUCAUUAAGAUGGGUGCUCAGGUGACAUCAGUUAUUUGCAUUGAGCACAGCUGGAUUAUGCCUAAAUCGGGUAGAGUUGGUCUUCCACUUUGGUCUUCCACUUAUGAUAAUGUAUCAGUUGUCUCUUCUAUUGUCCACGAUGGAGCAGCUUUACCUAAUACAGAGAAAACUUUACCUUUUGGUGGAGAGGACAUAUCAAGAUGCCUUCUUUGGACUCAGAGACAUCAUCAGACAUGGCCACAAAUUCGUACUGACAUGUUCACCAAGCUGAUAGAUCUCUUGAUGCGUAACAGACUAAAAGAGUCUUAUUGUGAGAUUAAAGAGGGGGAACUAGAUGCUGUUGGUGUAGUUCAUUCUUAUGAAGAUGGUAUGCCAGCUGGAUCUCGUAAGACAAGAUUAACUGCUCUCAAUAUGCAUAUCCUCCUCCUCCCGGUGUUUGGUUUCGUGACUAUGAGGACUUGCUAGAAGAUACAUGGCACAUGGAAUUUCCCAGAAGACCUGAAAUGUCAGAUAGCUUGUUUCCCAACAUGAACACCGGGUAUCCAAUGUGGGAUGGCUACCCAGCUUUUUCAGCUAAACCAAAGAAAGAAGAAAAAGUUGGCCUUGCAGAAGCCAUAACAAGUAGCAUUCUUUCAACAGGUUGGUGGAGUGGCUUCAACAAGAGGUCUUGUUCCUGCAGUGGAGGAAAGCUUCAUGCCAUUUGAGACUUGUCGCGGCUUUGCGCCAUUUGGGAUUUGAUGCAGCUUCGUGCCAUUUGGGAUUUGAUGCGGCUUCGUGCCAUUUGAGAUUUGUUGCGCCUUCGUGUCAUUUGGGCCAACUCGGUAAUUUAACGGGAGCUUGAUCCAUUUGUUUUGACGUUGCUCAAAUCCACUGAUUUGAGGUGGCAAGUCUAUCCAGCUUUGUGCUUUGAGAUGGUUCGCGUCUAAGGUAUUUGGAGUAAUUUGCAUCCAUGAAUUGUCGUGGUCGUCGUUGACUCCAUGUUUACUUGGACCAUAUUCAGUCAACGGAGCCCAUGUGAAUGGCAUUCCAAGUUUUGGAGGAGCUCUUAUUUUCCUCCCUUGCUGCAGCCCUUAGUGCUUUUGAAACUCCACAAGUUUGACUUAAGAUUCAAACAUAAUGAUCAAUAUUUAAGUCGCAAGAGUUACUAAGGCAGUUGGCACUGGAUGCUUCUUUUUGGUUUACAUCCACUUCUUGUAUACUUGUUCUCCAUGCGGUGCUUUCGGUGCUCAGCGGAAGCAAAGAGGAUAAAGAAAGGCGUUGCCUAUUGGUGCAUUAAAUCAAAAAGCAAAGUCUUCUUACUUGAACUCUUUAAUUUCAAUGCCACGUAAGUGGCUUUCCUCUUGGUGAUCACAAUCAUGAUUUGCCAUCUUUUCACCAUUUUCUAAUAAUAUUUUGACCCUUUUUCUAGGGAACCGCAUGCAUGGCAUCCCAAUUUGUUUGCUCGUCAUCACGUGCUAUUUGCACACUUGCAUUUCCUUUCUUCAUGGAACUUAUGAAAGCUCCGGAGACUUCUAAGAAAAUUGCAGCGUGUUUUCGAUCUUCGAAGCAGCAACACAUUUGAAUAUUUAGAGCAACGAUAACAGUGCUCUUUGUCUCGCAACGAACUUCAUAGAAAUGAUAGGAAAACAAAGAGUCCUUUGUGCAAUAGAUUUUUUUGGGAGCCUCCUUUUGACCUUUAAACAGACUUUUAGAACCCCAUGUUAUAUUGGUUUCCUUCAAUUAACCCUUUUACUGUCAUCACAUUGAGGGUGAUCAACAACAGAAAAAUAAACAUUUGUUUCCAGCAAGCCUUCUAUGCAUCCAUGUGCAUCGUCCAUUUUUUCUGCAAUUCCUGGCUGCCGGUUUGGUCCCAAAAGGAACUUUUCUGUGGCCUCUUCCUUCUCACUGUCCGUGAGUAUCGACAGCAACAAUUGUCCACACGAAUCCAUGAGCUUGCCACCUGGAUCAUCAUGCUCAGAUUUAUGCGGAGUUGAUUGCGGUGGUUGUGUAAUGGUGGCGUUGAAGUCCUUGACACAAGCUCGCAAGUUGCAGGGUGUUGAUGAUGGCAAAGGCACAGCGACAGUGGCGCUAGAGCCAUUGCAGCGUCUUGGAGGCCUUGGGGCUGUCUUCUGCUGCUGUAGGCUGAUGGGGUUGCGGCAGUUCUUGAUUCUCUUCUCCGUUGUCGCGACUUUUUUUCAGUCUCUUCUAGCUUUGUGCGACACUGCAUCACCAAAUCCAUCUCCUUCAAGUCACAGAGUGCAUGGGCUCCUUCUGGAAGACAACCGGAGAUGACGGCUGGAGACAUGGCGUGGCUGCUACCUCCGUUUGGGCUUCCGUCUGACUUCGGCGGUUGUUGCAGUGUUAUGCGAGGAAGGAAGGGCUGCAGUGUGCGUUGAUCGAGAGUCCAAGAGAGGUAGAGAGAGAACUGCAGUGGGCUCACGGUCUCCGAAUGUCACCAGUUUGCUGUUGCCCUUCCUUUGUCGGCCGAGACGAGGGUGCACGCUGCAGUCUCUGGGCUCACGGAUGGUGCUCUUGCUGGGCAGAGAGGAACCAGGAGCAGCCGUCUGGACCUUGGGGAGUCGACAGCGGCGGGGAGCAGAGAAUGUCUCUCUUUCUUCUCUGCAUUUUCCUUCUCUGCUCGCCAACCGCAUCUUUGCCUUCGUGUUCCGCUGCCUUCACUCCUUCUGCAACUGUUUCUUUGGCAUCGUCUUCGUUGUCCCUUGGUGCAUGCUUGAUACCCAAUGUUUGCUUUUGGUUUGUGUAAUUGAAGUAGAAGCAAUUACAACUUGUUUUGAAAUCCUUUUGGUUGUGCAUGUAACAUACCAUUUUUCUUCAUCUUUGUUUUGAAAUAUAUUUCCACCCUUGUUAAUUUUAAUGGCUAUAUAUGGCUUGAAAGUCAUUGUAAUUGUUACUUAUGUUUAUUUUAGAGGCAUUUU